rnacentral:rRNA from 1 species
UACGUAGGGUGCGAGCGUUGUCCGGAAUUAUUGGGCGUAAAGAGCUUGUAGGCGGUCUGUCGCGUCUGCUGUGAAAAUCCGGGGCUCAAUCCCGGACUUGCAGUGGGUACGGGCAGACUAGAGUGUGGUAGGGGAGACUGGAAUUCCUGGUGUAGCGGUGAAAUGCGCAGAUACCAGGAGGAACACCGAUGGCGAAGGCAGGUCUCUGGGCCACUACUGACGCUGAGAAGCGAAAGCAUGGGGAGCGAACAGG